GGCAGAAGCAGAUUCCCCGCUGAGCAGGGAGCCUGACACAGGACUCGAUCCCAGGACCCCGGGAUCAUGACCUGAGCCAAAGGCAUAUGCUUCACCGCCUGAACCACCCAGGCGCCCCAGACCCUUUCCGUUUUAUCUGAUGGCUUCAGCACAAAAAUGCAGGAAGUGACUUCAUGGUCCCUCCCUCUGUCUGCAGCCGGACGCCCUGGCCUCUGCACUUCGGUGGUUAAAGGAAGGUAUUGCUCACCUGCCCCAUACUUCUUCCCCCCUGAACAGCUCCUGAAGCUCUCGCAGCACCUUUGGGUCACGACUUCAAACUGGCCGGAGGGGGAAGCAGACUGACUGCCAGGGCCGGGCCGGGUCCAUCCAGCUCUGUUCUGACAGCUGGAACGGGUUGAAAAGCAUAUCCAGGUGGGGAUUAGCCAGUUCAACCAGCUCACCAGCUGACUCCCAGUCUCAGCCCUGUGAGGAAUGCAGUUUACACCUCAAGGCACUUUAAACCACGUGAAGAAACAAAAGGUCAACACUCGCAGGCAGCAAGAGGCUCCCUGGGCCACCGAGGUCACAGCCUGCUGUGGCUGCCUCGGGCUGCCGGCUGGCCCCUGGACGCCAUGGGAAGGCCCACACUGAUCGGUCCACCUGCCCAGCAGCCUUCUCUGCCUCUCACGCAAUCGGGCUGUACUCUCCACCCAGUCCGCACAAAUGGUUUCAGUGGGCACCGCCAGUGCUUUCCGCAUGUGGCUUCCUCCUUGGUCUGGAGGCGGGGGCGUGACGCCCACGGGGCCAAUCAGAGCCCUUUCCUACAUCUGCCUUCGGUGGGCAGAGACACGAUGAAGUCUGGUUUCUCUCUGCACGAGGCCACUAGGAGGCCAGCGUGGAGCGGGUCUCGGGUGGAACCCCCGACCCAGUGCAUUCCUGGGUCUCUGCGCUGCUGCUCCAUCGAGGGUUCGGUUACACAAGCCGGGUCCUGACCCUUUGGAGGGAAGAUUGUUCCUUCUGGUGAGAAGAGUCCUGUAGUUUCACGCCAGCACUCACAGAAGAGCAGCAGGUGACCCCAAGGACAAGAAGCACUCCCACAAGAAAGGAGAAAAACGCCGAGCUGUGGGAAAGGGCAGAGACGGCCUGUGCUGACACGAUCCCAGCCUGACCUUGAACGAGGGGACUUUGGUGCAGAGCACUGAACGCGAUCAGAAACCAUUCAUACUAUGAAGGAACUUUAGACCCUGUGGCCCAGCUUUCUCCUUUUGAGACAUGAGAAAACCAAGACCCAGAAUGAGUGGGGUUUGUGACAUCUAGUUUCGCACUGUGAAUCGGUUUCCUGGGGCUGCCUCAACAAAUGACCCCAAACUAGACAUGUGUUCUUUCAGGGUGUGGAGGCCAGAGUCUGAAAUCAAGGUGUCGGCAGCACCACGCUGCCUCCAAAGGCUCUCGGGGAGCAUCCUCCUGUCCCUUCCAGCUCCGGGGGCUCCAGCAUUCACGGGCUUGGGGAUGCAUCCCUCCUGUCUCUGCCUCCGUGGUCAUGUGGCUUCUCCCUCAGCUGUUCUCCUGUCUGGACUCUUGUCAUUUAGGGUCCAUCCUGGAUCCAGGAUGAUCGCAUCUCAAAAUCCAUAAUUAUACCUACAAAGACCUUUUUGCAAAUAAGGUCACAUUCACAGCUUCCAGGCACAUGGGGUUUUUGUGGGGCACCAUUCAACCCCCUGCAUGUUCCUUGCGGGGGAAAUCCCGUGUCCUGCCACGAAUGCAGAACUUUGCCAAAAAGGUGCAGGUUACUCUUUAUGUGGGUGUUUCCAUGAGUGUCCCCAAACUGUUUUCCACCUUCUGUCUUCAUGAAGUUUUCUAAUAUUAAUAUAACCUACAAAAUAAUAGUAAUCGUGCGGCUGAGUUUCAAGAUGUCACAGAACUACUAGAGUGAGUAGAUCUCUACGUACAGAAAUGAAACCAUCUGGGGGCACCUGGGUGGCACAGCGGUUAAGCGUCUGCCUUCAGCUCAGGGCGUGAUCCUGGCGUUAUGGGAUCGAGCCCCACAUCAGGCUCCUCUGCUAUGAGCCUGCUUC